rnacentral:rRNA from 1 species
GAAGGUAAACGGCUCCCCUAGGCGACGAUACAUAGCCGACCUGAGAGGGGUGAUCGGCCACACUGGGACUGAGACACGGCCCAGACUCCUACGGGAGGCAGCAGUAGGGAAUCUUCGGCAAUGGGGGCAACCCUGACCGAGCAACGCCGCGUGAGUGAAGAAGGUUUUCGGAUCGUAAAGCUCUGUUGUAAGUCAAGAACGAGUGUGAGAGUGGAAAGUUCACACUGUGACGGUAGCUUACCAGAAAGGGACGGCUAACUACGUGCCAGCAGCCGCGGUAAUACGUAGGUCCCGAGCGUUGUCCGGAUUUAUUGGGCGUAAAGCGAGCGCAGGCGGUUUGAUAAGUCUGAAGUUAAAGGCUGUGGCUCAACCAUAGUUCGCUUUGGAAACUGUCAAACUUGAGUGCAGAAGGGGAGAGUGGAAUUCCAUGUGUAGCGGUGAAAUGCGUAGAUAUAUGGAGGAACACCGGUGGCGAAAGCGGCUCUCUGGUCUGUAACUGACGCUGAGGCUCGAAAGCGUGGGGAGCGAACAGGAUUAGAUACCCUGGUAGUCCACGCCGU